rnacentral:misc_RNA from 1 species
GAGCAACUCAUUUCAAUAUCUUUCAUAUUUAGUUCCAGAACUUGAAAAGUAGAAAUUUUUGACAAAUUUGGUUGUUAUUUUAAUGGGUAUGACUGGAAGGCAGAAGAAUAUAAUCAGAGCACUGCAAUGAAGCAUUAUGAAUCCACUUCUUCUACCAAAGAAAAAUUCAAGAUGUAAGCAUGUAAAUAUAAGAUUGUUACAAUAUGGCAGCCACUCCCAAAAUAAUAACCAAAAACUAUAGGAACAUAUAAUUUGAGCAUUAUCCAUGAUCAUGUAAUACAAAAGCCUGAUGUAGCUGCUAUUAUAAAAAAAUGGCAACUAAUAAGUGUAUCAAAGGGAUAUCAAGACUAAGGCAAAAACAAGCAUUUCUUUUCUAUUCUCCAUCAUUUACCAUCUUGCAACCAGAAGAUGCAAAAUUAAG